rnacentral:lncRNA from 1 species
UCCCCUACUGGCGACUCUAUCUCCAAAUAUCGUGAGCCUAAGGGGGCAUGGGGCCAAUGGGGCCAACACGAUAUGUCGGUACUCUGGCUUUACAUGGAGGAUUGAGGUCAUCGGAUUCUACAUCCGAGUCAUCAUCAUCAUUGCCCUCUGGCUCUUCCUCUUCAAGGUCCACUUACUGAGUCGGCGGGUUCGCCUGCGAGUUCUACUUCGUGUUCCUCCUGGGGUUCUUCCUCUGGGUCGAGCCACCAUACUAUUCCUUGACUAGGGAGAUAAGGUUUCCUGGCUAAUGAUACUCGUGUAUAGCGUAUUGCGCGAAGGGCUAUGAAUACUAGAAACAAAUAGCAUACCAAUUACUCCUAUAAUUCUACAACUAUUGCAUGGAUUCAGUUGAGGUUCCCUUUUUGGAGAUUAAGGGGUAUGAUUUUAGGUUCCUAGCUAUCACGAUUUCUUCACGACAUGUGAUGGUUGUACCUUGGAGGGAAUGUAGUUGAUCAGGCUACAUCCGCCCCUUGAUACAACUAAGAACAGUCCUGAAUUAACCGAGAUACUAGCAUUAUCUUGUUUGGUUCGGUGUUAAGUUCUCGUUCCUAAUACAAGCAAGGGUGUUUUAUUGUUAUGUUUUACUUGUUUUGUUCAGAGUUAUGUUAGUCCCUCUUUUGGUUUAUAGUUGCAUAUCAAUGUAUGGUUAGAUAUGCUAGUUCACUAUAAACAGAGCUCUGAUACCAACCUGUCACACCCCCGAACCAGACGGCGGAAACGUCCGGGGGCUGUUGUGACUCAAUUGAAUACCAUCACAAUGAAUAUACAUGAAACAUAACAUCAUUCNUAUUGUUAUGUUUUACUUGUUUUGUUCAGAGUUAUGUUAGUCCCUCUUUUGGUUUAUAGUUGCAUAUCAAUGUAUGGUUAGAUAUGCUAGUUCACUAUAAACAGAGCUCUGAUACCAACCUGUCACACCCCCGAACCAGACGGCGGAAACGUCCGGGGGCUGUUGUGACUCAAUUGAAUACCAUCACAAUGAAUAUACAUGAAACAUAACAUCAUUCGUCACCA